CCCUUAGAUGUUCUGGGCUGCACGAGCGCUACACUGAUGCACUCAACGAGUUUACGACCUUGCCCGAUAGGGUUGGGUAAUCUUUUUAAAAUGCAUCGUGAUGGGGAUAGAUUAUUGCAAUUAUUAAUCUUCAACGAGGAAUUCCUAGUAAGCGCGAGUCAUCAGCUCGUGCUGAUUACGUCCCUGCCCUUUGUACACACCGCCCGUCGCUCCUACCGAUUGAGUGCUCAGGUGAAUAAUUCGGACUGCAGCAAUGUUUGGAUCCCGAACGUUGCAGCGGAAAGUUUAGUGAACCUUAUCACUUAGAGGAAGGAGAAGUCGUAACA
rnacentral:rRNA from 1 species